rnacentral:misc_RNA from 1 species
GUAUUUCAUUGCGUUAAACGCGACAUACAUUCCAUGAGACUUUGUUACAGUGUGUGUGUAAAGACGUAGAGCCACAGCAGGAGGACAGAGCCCCCCAGGCCAUAGAACUACAGAGGGUGCACAGGUGUGAGUGGAUGUGUAAACAGAGCGUGCACAUGCCCCCGUAUAGGGACCAGCAACAACUCUUGUUAACAAUUCAGUAAUGAUCCUUCCGCAGGUUCACCUACGGAAA